UACAGAGGUGGCAAGCGUUGUUCGGAAUUACUGGGCGUAAAGGGCGCGUAGGCGGCCUUCUAAGUCGGACGUGAAAUCCCCAGGCUUAACUUGGGAACUGCGUCUGAUACUGGGAGGCUUGAGUGCGGGAGAGGGAUGUGGAAUUCCAGGUGUAGCGGUGAAAUGCGUAGAUAUACGGAGGAACACCAGCGGCGAAGGCGGGUAGCUGGGCCAACACUGACGCUGAUGUGCGAAAGCUAGGGGAGCAAACGGG
rnacentral:rRNA from 1 species